UGAGAGUUUGAUCCUGGCUCAGGAUGAACGCUGGCGGCGUGGAUAAGGCAUGCAAGUCGAGGGCCGAUUUUGAUCGGCCCGGCAAACGGGUUAGUAACGCAUAGGAACGUACCCUCGAGUCUCGAAUAAUCCCUCGAAAGGGGGAAUAAUGCGAGAUAGUUCUCUUCGGAGUAAAGAUUUAUCGCUUGAGGAGCGGCCUGUGUCCUAUCAGCUUGUUGGCGGGGUAAAGGCCCACCAAGGCUAUGACGGGUAGGGGAUGUGAGAGCAUGAUCCCCAACAUUGGGACUGAGACACUGCCCAAACACCUACGGGUGGCUGCAGUCGAGAAUCUUCGGCAAUGGGCGAAAGCCUGACCGAGCGACGCCGCGUGGAGGAUGAAGGCCUUCGGGUUGUAAACUCCUUUUGCAAGGGAAGAAACCGUGUUCAGCACGGAGAAUCCAAUUACACUCCGCCUCAUCGGCGGAAACUUUAGGAAUUGUGUUGAGAAAAAAUGUUUUGAUCUUUUUUAGGGAGGAAUAAACAAUGGCCGCCCAAAGUCUUGAGAUUACGGCAAAAACAGAAGAGGCUUUAGAAAAAGAAGUCAACCAUCGUGUCGAGUUUGCGCCCCAAAUUGGCCGUCGGGUUACUGGUGUGCAGUUUAUGAAAACACUGGCUGCCGAUGGGAACCACAGGGCUAUACUCACGAUCGAAGGAGGAUGUUGCUGCUAAAAAACAAUUCCCCUAAAUCGAUUCAAGCGAGAUUGCGAACCUGCUUUCUCGCAAUCUCAACUCAAUUCCUAAAAAGAAAAAAGUGUAAUUGACGAUUCCGUGUUGGAUACGGCUGACGGUACCUUGCGAAUAAGAGGUUGCUAACUCUGUGCCAGCAGCAGCGGUAAUACAGAGACCUCAAGCGUUAUCCGGAUUUAUUGGGCGUAAAGCGUGUGUAGGUGGCGAUGAUAGUCAGAUGUCAAAUUCCAGCGCUCAACGUUGGAGCUGCAUCUGAAACGUCAUCACUAGAGGCAAGUAGAGGCUCAUGGAACAUAUGGUGUAGCAGUGAAAUGCGUUGAUAUCAUAUGGAACGCCAAAGGAGAAGUCAGUGAGCUGGGCUUUGCCUGACACUGAGACACGAAAGCGUGGGUAGCGAACGGGAUUAGAUACCCCGGUAGUCCACGCCCUAAACGUUGCCAACUAGGUCUUGGAAGUAUCGACCCUUUCAGGACCGUAGCUAACGCGUUAAGUUGGCCGCCUGGGAAGUACGGCCGCAAGGCUAAAACUCAAAGGAAUAGACGGGGACCCGCACAAGCGGUGGAGCACGCGGUUCAAUUCGUCAACAAGCGAGGAACCUCACCAGGGCUUGAAAUCCUACUGCAAAUCCCGAGAAAUCGGGACUUCUUCGAGAGUGUAGGACAGGUGCUGCAUGGUUGUCGUCAGCUCGUGCCGUGAGGUGUUCCGUUAAGUCGGGAAACGAGCGCAACCCCUGUCGAGUGUUACUUAUGUCACUCGAGACUGCCCAGCCCAGAGUUUUCGAAUCAUCGAAAAUUUCGGGCUGGGAGGAAGGUGGGGAUGACGUCAAAUCAGCAUGGCCCUCUGACGCCCUGGGCGACACGCAUGCUACAAUGGCCGGUACAAUGGGUUGCCAAACCGCGAGGUGGAGCCAAUCCCAUAAAGCCGGUCCCAGUUCGGAUUGGAGUCUGCAACUCGACUCCAUGAAGCCGGAAUCGCUAGUAAUCGUGAAUCAGCCAUGUCACGGUGAAUACGUUCUCGGGUCUUGUACUCACCGCCCGUCACACCAAGAGAGUCGGUAAUACCCAAAGUGCCACGCAAGUGGUCCUACGGUAGGAUCGAUAAUAAGGGUGAAGUCGUAAAUUUGUUGCGACCUCAAAGAGCAAUCUUUGAGAAAAACCUGACUAUAUGCUGGAAACCCUGUGUAUCUUGUGCUACUCAUGAUAAUAUAUUUAUAUGAGUGAAAAAGCUUCAAGUGCAGGCAAUCAGCAGGGAAGAGCAUCUUUCGCAAGAAAGGGAAAACUCCCCUCAGAGACUACACGUCAGGCGCCUUUCUCUGAAAAAGAAAUAAAGGCUUAUCUUUUAGGUGCAUUGCACGAUGCAACUUUCAGCAGCAAUCGAAGAUUUCGGUUUUCUCAAAAGGGAACCGGAUGGUUGAAAUUUCUUCAAAUGCUGUUUAGAAGAAUUGGUUAUAAAUCUUGGGUUUAUAAGGAAGGUAAAACCAGAUCCGUAUAUGUUCUUGAAACUUUAGCGAAAUUCUUGGAUUUUGAGUUUAAUCCUUUGAAUCUGAAGUCAAGACAAGAAAAGAUCGGAUACAUUCGAGGUUUUUUCGAUGCCGAAGGUGGCAUUCCAAAAAACGGAAAAAGGUUUUACAUUCAACUAGUGCAAUCAAACAAGAAAAAACUUCAGCAAAUCAAGAAAGUCUUGAAAAAUCUGGAAAUCGAAACAGGAAAAAUACACAAUCCAAGCUACAGGGUGGAUCCUAAAUAUUGGAGAAUGUAUGUCCCUGCAAAUUACCAGAAAAAAUUUGCUAAAGUGAUAAAUUCUUGGCAUCCGAAAAAGACAAAAGUAUUCAGAGAGAGGAUGAUGAUAUAGUCCAUGCCUUAUAGCGAUAUAGGGAGAAACAUGAACAAGGCAUCCGUAGCGGAAGCUGUGGAUGGAUCACCUCCUU
rnacentral:rRNA from 2 species